rnacentral:rRNA from 1 species
UAGGGAAUCUUCCGCAAUGGACGCAAGUCUGACGGAGCAACGCCGCGUGAGUGAAGAAGGAUUUCGGUUCGUAAAACUCUGUUGUUAGAGAAGAACAGCGCAUAGAGUAACUGUUAUGCGUGUGACGGUAUCUAACCAGAAAGCCACGGCUAACUACGUGCCAGCAGCCGCGGUAAUACGUAGGUGGCAAGCGUUGUCCGGAUUUAUUGGGCGUAAGGCGAGCGCAGGCGGUCAAUUAAGUCUGAUGUGAAAGCCCCCGGCUCAACCGGGGAGGGUCAUUGGAAACUGGUUGACUUGAGUGCAGAAGAGGAGAGUGGAAUUCCAUGUGUAGCGGUGAAAUGCGUAGAUAUAUGGAGGAACACCAGUGGCGAAGGCGACUCUCUGGUCUGUAACUGACGCUGAGGCUCGAAAGCGUGGGUAGCAAACAGG